rnacentral:rRNA from 1 species
UACAGAGGGGGCAAGCGUUGUUCGGAAUUACUGGGCGUAAAGGGCGCGUAGGCGGCCUGUUAAGUCGGACGUGAAAUCCCUCGGCUCAACCGGGGAACUGCGUCCGAUACUGGUGGGCUCGAAUCCGGGAGAGGGAUGUGGAAUUCCAGGUGUAGCGGUGAAAUGCGUAGAUAUCUGGAGGAACACCGGUGGCGAAGGCGGCAUCCUGGACCGGUAUUGACGCUGAUGCGCGAAAGCCAGGGGAGCAAACGGG